GCUCGGGUGAUGGAAUUGGUAGACAUUACGGACUUAAAAUCCGUUGACCGCAAGGUCGUGCCGGUUCGACUCCGGCCCCGAGCA
rnacentral:tRNA from 1 species